rnacentral:rRNA from 1 species
GCAGUCGAACGAUGAUCCGGUGCUUGCACCGGGGAUUAGUGGCGAACGGGUGAGUAACACGUGAGUAACCUGCCCUUAACUCUGGGAUAAGCCUGGGAAACUGGGUCUAAUACCGGAUAUGACUGACCGUCGCAUGGUGGUUGGUGGAAAGCUUUAUUGUGGUUUUGGAUGGACUCGCGGCCUAUCAGCUUGUUGGUGAGGUAAUGGCUUACCAAGGCGACGACGGGUAGCCGGCCUGAGAGGGUGACCGGCCACACUGGGACUGAGACACGGCCCAGACUCCUACGGGAGGCAGCAGUGGGGAAUAUUGCACAAUGGGCGCAAGCCUGAUGCAGCGACGCCGCGUGAGGGAUGACGGCCUUCGGGUUGUAAACCUCUUUCAGUAGGGAAGAAGCGAAAGUGACGGUACCUGCAGAAGAAGCGCCGGCUAACUACGUGCCAGCAGCCGCGGUAAUACGUAGGGCGCAAGCGUUAUCCGGAAUUAUUGGGCGUAAAGAGCUCGUAGGCGGUUUGUCGCGUCUGCCGUGAAAGUCCGGGGCUCAACUCCGGAUCUGCGGUGGGUACGGGCAGACUAGAGUGAUGUAGGGGAGACUGGAAUUCCUGGUGUAGCGGUGAAAUGCGCAGAUAUCAGGAGGAACACCGAUGGCGAAGGCAGGUCUCUGGGCAUUAACUGACGCUGAGGAGCGAAAGCAUGGGGAGCGAACAGGAUUAGAUACCCUGGUAGUCCAUGCCGUAAACGUUGGGCACUAGGUGUGGGGGACAUUCCACGUUUUCCGCGCCGUAGCUAACGCAUUAAGUGCCCCGCCUGGGGAGUACGGCCGCAGGCUAAAACUCAAAGGAAUUGACGGGGGCCCGCCCAAGCGGCGGAGCAUGCGGAUUAAUUCGAUGCAACGCGAAGAA